CCUACGGGAGGCAGCAGUGAGGAAUAUUGGUCAAUGGGCGCGAGCCUGAACCAGCGAAGUCGCGUGAGGGAAGACGGUCCUAUGGAUUGUAAACCUCUUUUGUCGGGGAGCAAAAGAAGCCGCGAGUGGCGUUCCGAGAGUACCCGAAUAACAAUCAUCGGCAAACUCCGUGCCAGCAGCCGCGGUAAGACGGGGGAGGCGAGCGUUAUCGGGAUUUAUUGGGUUAAAAGGGUGCGCAGGGGGAGUGUAAAGUCAGCGGUAAAAUUGAGGGGCUCAACCUCUUCGGGCCGUUGAGACUGGUUGUAGUGAGUGAGCGAGAGGUAUGCGGAAUGCGUGGUGUAGCGGUGAAAUGCAUAGAUAUCACGCAGAACUCCGAUUGCGAAGGCAGCAUACCGGCGCUCAACUGACGCUCAUGCACGAAAGUGUGGGUAUCGAACAGGAUUAGAUACCCCUGUAGUC
rnacentral:rRNA from 1 species